rnacentral:lncRNA from 1 species
UAGCUUGUAUAGUGUUGUUUGGGGUUAGAAUAUGUUAGAAUACAAUAAAUUUGAUUGAUUAGAAGUGUUAGAGGUGCAUGAAGAGUGUUUAGUAGUGUGGAGAAAGACUUGUUGAAAUUGGGUCCCAAAUGGGCUAAGAACUCGGAAACAUUGCGUAGAACCACUUAAGGGUUUGUCUAGUGCUGUUUCGGGUUAGAAUAUGUUAGAAUAUAAUAAAUUUAACUGUUACAAGUGCUAGAGAUACAUGAAGAGUGUUUAGAAGUGUGGAGAAACACUUGUUGAAAUUGAGUCCCAAAUGGGCUAAGAACUAGGAAACAUUGCGUUGAACCACUAAAUGACUUAUCUAUUGUUGUUUAGGGUUAGAAUAUGUUAGAAUGCAAUAUACUUGAUUGAUUUCAAGUGCUAGAGAUGCAUGAAGAGUGUUUAAAAGUAUGUAGAGAGACUUGCUGAAAUUUGGUCCAAAAUGGACUAAGAACCCACAACCAUUGCUUUAAAGCAUUAAAUGGCUUGUAUAGUGUUGUUCGGGGUUAUAAUAUAUUAGAAUACAAUAAAUUUGAUUGAUUAGAAGUGUUAGAGGUGCAUGAAGAGUGUUUAGUAGUGUGGAGAAAGACUUGUUGAAAUUGGGUCCCAAAUGGGCUAAAAACUCGGAAACAUUGCGUUGAACCAAUAAAUGACUUAUUUAAUGUUGUUUGCGGUUAGAAUAUGUUAGAAUACAAUGAAGUUGAUUGAUUACAAGUAAUAGAGAUAGAU